GAUGUCUUCUUUCUGAUAAACACACUAUGUAUGUUUUCAAUGCCUCAUGCUCCAGGGAGCUCAGUUUUGUCCAGCCUUCCUUUCAGAGUCCUGUUCCUACUUGUCUUCUGCUCCUUCCAUCCCACGCCUGUCUGAUUCCCUCACUGAAAGAGGAACUUCAAAUUCUUUCAAAAACCAGGGACCUGCAAUACAUCACGCAGACACCUUGAUGCACAUACAACAAAACCUUCAACUCCACAGCCUGUGUUUUAACACGCUAGGUCUGUAUUCUUUGCUCUGGUAACACCCCCCAAUCUUAGCAGUCAAGAGUUUCCUCCCUUCUGUAAACAUGUCCACCUCCCUCCCUCCUCCUCAAGCAAGAGGCAUCGACUUCAGCCUGCCCACCUGUGGAGAGACUAAGUGCAACAGCCGUGGUACCUGCGUGAUUCCUCCUGGUGGGGGGGCAGACCUGGUGUGUGAAUGUGCGCUUGGUUACAGGGGAGAAUUCUGUGACGGUACAGUCAACGGGUCGUUGAGUGUGCCCCUGACCCUGAGUGUGCUGGCCAUCAUCUUCGGGCUGCUGAUCAUAGCUUUUAUUGUUGCCAAGAUGAGGCAGAAGCAAAAGAAGAGGAACAGGAAACUUCUUGCAGCCAAACAUGGCUACAACGUUGCUGUGUGAUGUGGAUAAAUCUUCAUUAUACCUGAGGUCAGCCAUGAGACUGUGAACAGUGACCCCAGUGAGCUUCCAUCAGCAUCCUUCUGCAGCACGCUUACAGAGCAGUUUGUCAACUGUUGAGAGAAUUUUUGUUUGGUCGGACGUCCGACUGAUGCUGUCGUCCAGAAACUCAAAUACUGAACAAAUGGACUGAGACAUAACUUUACUACAGUUCAAAGUAUGACUGUACAGUUUAUCCCAAAGACAAUUUUUUGAGGAUAUAUGCAUGUAUAUCAUAGAGCUCUUAAGUAUGUAAUAGAUAACUGACUGACAGCACCUUUACAGACAUGUGUUUCAUACUGGCAUUUUAUGCUGAGUUAUAAGUCUCUACCUAAAGAGCACAGCAGAGAUGUCAUGCAGCAAAAAACACAUCUUUGUUCACCACACAUUUAGGAAUAACAGUUAAAUGUAAUAUAAAAAGUGUAAAUAUAAAAAAAAGCGCCUUGCAUAUGAGCUUUGUUACUGGCAUUAUUAGCUUAUUAGAGCAAAACAACUAUGAUAUUUUAAGUGCAUUCUUUACACUACUAGCUCACUGUUUUAAUGCAAUGCAACUGCAAUUCACUGAUUAUUUGUAUGUACGUCUGCUGUAAUAGUCAUAGUGUUAUUUAUAGAAUUGUAAUGACUUUUUGUGGCUUUGCCAGUGUUACUGGUUUAGAUAUGACUGCUCACCUGCUGCUGAUUUGUUGCUAAUCCAGAGAGGAUCUGAAUUUGGUAGACCAAAUGAUCCACUGAAUAUUAAGUGACAGGAUCUCUCUUCACUCUCUGUCAAAAUGUUCUUUCUUGUUUACAUGUCCUUUCAGCAAAAUGUGGUUAUAUGGAAAAUUGCACUGCUUAGGCUGGCUACAGAAAAAUAUCCAAAUGUUCACUUUUUAACGCAGGAGUUACUUCUUUUAAUCUCAGAGAAAGAGACUGCUUCAGUAGAAUUGAAUGAUUCUUUCAAACAUGUCUACUUGCUGCAAAAACUGAUUUCCUAGGUUCACAGGUGUAAAACCAAAAGUGGAUACUUAAUUCAGAUGUUUAGACAGCAAACACUUUACAUAUUGGAAAAUUAAAUAUCAAUAGAAUUCUUUUUUCCUUCAUUUUUUUUCUCUCUUCUUAGUUUUUUUUUUUUGUUUGUUUACAUUUUCACAAAUUGCUCAUAUCAAGACAUUUCAUCAGCUCCCAGUCAAAAUAUAUUCCAUGUAUGUGCACUUUCAUAUUCAAGUAAGUCAGCUUCCACAGAACUGAUCACAACUGAAAAAGUACAGAAUUUAUACAGACUUCAAAGAUCACUUGUGCUGUUGUUUGCCUAUCACAAUGUGCACUUUGACUGGUCUAUGUGCUUUUUUUAUUUUGAACCUAGAGCUCAGGUUGUAGAUUGAUACCACACGUAUUUAGUACACUAAACUAUAUACUUUGACAUGUGGUACUAUAUGGUACAAUAUGGGCCUGUCUAGCUUUGAAUACUACAAGAUCCAAGCUUAUUCUGUGUAAUUUGGUCCUGACUACAUAUGCAUAUUGUUGUAUUGUUUCUGUCUUUUUCACACUGCUGACUGAAAUGUUUUUUACACUAUUUUUUACACUAUUUUUGAAUACUAACAUUUGCAAGAUGUAUAACCUGUGUUAGUCUUCUGUUAAGGAAUUUUGUUAACUACAUUUAUAUACUAUGAAAGUGUUUUUAUGUUGCUGUAUGGCAUUAAACUUAACUACAGAUCAUCA